UAAGGAUAUAAGUCCCGCCUUCCGCCCCUCCCCUCCCCCCACCCCUCUCGCUCGACGGAUAGAGGAAGAGAGCGACGAAUCUCUCCUUCUCUUUCUCCUGACUUCCAGUCCUCUCUCGCUCGAAGCAUCGGAGGAGAGCGAGGUGGGCAGCGGCCAUCUCUCCAUCCUUUUCUGGGCUAAAAGGGCAAGAAAGGAAUUGGAACCUCUAGUUGCUGGCUGAUAUUUUAAUUCAGAGGGCUACAUUCAACAUGGUACCUGUAAUUAAUUGCUCUGUGGGCAAUAUCACUCUGCUUCCUGGAUCGACUUGUGGCCUUAGGAAGGAGAUCCAAUCAACAAGAUGCCAUGUUUCUGGAAAAUAUUUAAGGCCAACACCGUUGUCUCAGGGGUUUUUAUUUACAAAAAUGUCAUUAAGGCUGUUUCAGAGAAACUAUAGAGGCUAUGUUUCAAAGCAUGGUUCAAGAGUCCGAAUCUUUGCUGCUGUUGGCGCUGAUAUAACAAUAGAGGAGCCAGAUCCUGCUGUUUCAGAUGAAGUUGCUGAUGAAACUUCAGAAACUGCAGCUAGUUCAGCUGAAACAAAUGAGCCAGCCCCUGCAAACCCUGCUGUUACUUCCACUGCUAAAAGCAAACGCCCUAGACCUGUAAGGAAAAGUGAGAUGCCACCUGUGAAGGAUGAGGAACUAGUGCCAGGAGCUUCCUUCAAAGGGAAAGUAAGAUCAAUUCAACCAUUUGGUGCUUUUGUUGACUUUGGGGCCUUUACAAAUGGACUGGUGCAUGUCUCCAGGUUGAGUGAUGAAUAUGUCAAGGAUGUGGCAUCUUUUGUUUCUGUUGGGCAAGAAGUGACAGUGAGGAUUGUGGAAGUAAAUAAGGAAAGUGGGAGGAUCUCUCUAACAAUGCGUGAUACUGAUGAACCCAGGAAGAUACAGCAGAGAAGAGACACUCCUGCUGAUGGAAGUAAUAACAAGCCAAGAGCUGCCAGAAAAAAUGCUGCAAGGUCGAAUCAGAAGGAUGGUGCGGUGCAAAAGAUUUCUAAGUUUGUUAAGGGCCAAAAUUUAGUUGGCACUGUGAAAAAUAUAACCAGAUCGGGAGCUUUUGUUUCGCUUCCAGCAGGGGAGGAAGGAUUUCUCCCCAUCUCUGAGGAAUCUGAAGGGUUUGGUGGCAUUUUGGGGAACUCCUCUCUGCAGGUUGGUCAAGAAGUUAAGGUACGGGUGUUGCGCGUUACAAGAGGGCAGGUGACUUUAACAAUGAAAAAAGAAGAAGAUGUUGAAAGGCUGAACAUACAACUAAAUCAGGGGGUGGUGCAUGUGGCAACGAACCCAUUUGAGCUGGCUUUUCGUAAGAAUAAGGAGAUUGCGGCAUUUUUGGAUGAACGGGAGAGAGACCGGAAUUCUUCUGAAAAUUUAAGCAUGUCAAAGACUUUAGAACAAGCAGGAGGAGAUGAUGAUGAAGCUGUAGCCAAUUCUAACACUCUUGAAGUUGAUGGCUCAACGGCAAGCAGUGAUGAGAACCAGGUUGUUGGGCCCUCUGAUUUAGGGGAUGAGCUGGAGGAUGAAAAAGGCACUGUCGAAGAGCUGCGAGAACAAGCUUCUGUUGAAGAUCCCAUUCCUACUGAUUUGGGGAGCAAGGAUGUGGAAUCUGCAAGCACUCAGGCUAAGAAUGCUGAGAUCGUUCCUGAAACUGUGCAAGAAGAUGUGGAGAGCUCUAAAACCUCAACUGAGCCCACUUCAGAUUCUGUUUUAGAUGAGGCCUCUGUAACAGAUGAUGUGCAGGAUUCAAGUGCUGCAAAGGUCACUGCAGAGGAACAAAACCUAAGUUCAAAAGCUUCAAAUUUGGGGGGAGGUGAAUCGUCUGCAGAUGGCUCCGCUGAAAAUUUGCUAACUAGUGUAUCUUCCAUAACUUCUGAAGGCAAGGAAGAAAGUGCUAAUAUCAAAACUGUAAAGAAAAGUGAAGGAGUUCUGGUUUCGGAAAGUACAGUAGCCUCUGUAACCAAUGAAGCUAGGGAAGCUGAUGUCACAACUGGAACUGUCCUGGAAGAUGAGACCGAUGGUAAAACUUUGAGUGCAGAAGAAAAUGAACCCUCUGUAGAUUCUGCAGGAAGUGAGAAAUCUUCUGCGAUAAAGGAUUCCAGCAUCAAUGUGGAUUCAUCUGGAGAAAUUGGUAAUCAGAAGCUAUCUUCAGGUGUGCUUCCUGAUGAAGUUGUUACUAAUCAAUCAGAUGAUACUUUAACUGAUGAGAAAGUGGAGAAAGUAACACCUAUGCCAGUUGUAAAUGAAGAAGCCUUUGCUGAAUUAAAAGAAGCACAUGCAGAGGCUUCUGAAAUCUUAAAUGGGCAAGCUACUAAUCCGGAUCAAGAAAGUGCUUCAAAAGUUGGUGCGCAAAAUGCAACAACUAUUUCUGCAGCUCUUGUAAAGCAAUUACGUGAAGAAACUGGGGCAGGAAUGAUGGACUGUAAGAAGGCUCUUGCAGAGACUGGGGGUGACAUUGUGAAAGCCCAAGAGUUUCUCCGGAAGAAGGGUUUAGCAAGUGCUGAGAAAAAGGCCAGCAGAGCCACUGCAGAAGGAAGAAUUGGGUCUUAUAUCCAUGACAACAGAAUUGGAGUCCUAAUUGAGGUGAACUGUGAAACAGAUUUCGUUUCUCGAGGUGAAAUUUUCAAGGAGUUAGUUGAUGACCUUGCUAUGCAAGUCGCUGCUUGUCCUCAAGUACGCUACUUGGUUAUUGAAGAUGUUCCAGAAGAAAUUGUUAACAAGGAGAGAGAACUAGAAAUGCAAAAGGAAGACCUUUUGACAAAACCAGAGAACAUCAGGUCAAAAAUUGUAGAUGGCCGAAUAAGAAAGAGACUUGAAGAAUUUUCAUUGCUUGAGCAACCAUAUAUUAAGAAUGAUAAGAUAAUAGUUAAGGAUUGGGUGAAGCAAACCAUUGCCUCAAUUGGGGAAAAUAUCAAAGUAAGAAGGUUUGUUCGCUACAAUCUUGGAGAAGGUUUGGAAAAGAAGAGCCAGGACUUUGCUGCUGAAGUGGCUGCCCAAACUGCGGCAAAACCAUCACCAGAAGUCCCCGUGGAUCAACCAUCUGAAGCCAAGGAAGCUGCUGAGAAGCCACCGACAGUUGCAGUGUCAGCUGCCCUGGUCAAGCAACUUAGGGAGGAAACAGGUGCUGGCAUGAUGGAUUGUAAGAAAGCUCUUACAGAAACUGGUGGAAACCUUGAGAAGGCUCAGGAGUACCUUAGGAAGAAGGGUCUAUCAUCUGCUGACAAGAAAUCUUCCAGACUAGCUGCAGAAGGUCUGAUCUCUUCCUACAUCCAUGAUUCUCGAAUUGGUGUGCUCAUCGAGGUCAACUGUGAGACUGAUUUUGUUGGUCGGAACGAAAAGUUCAAGCAGUUGGUUGAUGACCUUGCAAUGCAAGUCGUUGCAUGCCCACAAGUUGAGUUUGUCUCCAUAGAGGACAUCCCAGAACAUAUUGUACAAAAGGAGAAAGAAAUAGAGAUGCAGAGAGAGGACCUGAAGUCAAAGCCUGAGCAUAUAAGGGAGAAGAUAGUGGAAGGAAGGAUUGGGAAGAGGCUGGGAGAACUUGCUCUCUUGGAGCAGCCAUUUAUCAAGGAUGACACUGUGUUGGUGAAGGAUCUGGUGAAGCAGACGGUCUCUGCCCUUGGAGAGAACAUCAAAGUUCGGAGAUUUGUUCGCUACACUCUUGGAGAGAGCAAGGAUUGAGAGGUGUGAAAGGUCAUGGCGCUGCAUUUUUCAUAGGCCUUUCACACGAAGAGUUGAAGGUGAUGCCAGAAGGGUUAUGUGCUUCAUGUAAACGUAUGUUCAAAUACGAAAAGAAACAAGUUUGUCAGAGGUGGUAACUUUUGCCAGCAUGGAACAUGGUUUCUUGGUGGAAACUAGAGCGCCGCUGUUACGUUCUAUGCUGAAGACAUGCAUAUCAGUUUCAGGGUAAAAAUUUGAGUAUUGGUCUUGUAACCUUAGCCGUGGCUUCUAUUUGCCAUCUGGCAUUUUGAACAGUCCACAAUCUGAUAUGCUAGCAGGACUUUGUAUGCCAACUACCAUGUUAGGAUAGCUAUUCAAACAUACCCUCCCAAGUCUGUCUUAUAUUUAGAUUAAAGAAUCCUUUAUUGUUGCACUUACCAGUAUCAUGCAGUAGAAAUAUGCUGGUGGCAUUGCAUCUAAGAGGCUGUAUUGGACCAUAUAUUAUGCAAGCCAUUCAAAUAAACUGAUAGAGCGCUAUAUCGUUGAAGCUAACUAAAUUGGCCGUUUAGUUAGUUGAACAGGGGAGGGAUAUUUUAUCAAAAAGUUUCGGAGCGGAGAACCAUUGUACCACAUUAAUUACUGGACAUGGGCUUGGUAAAAGGGAACGGCGGAGUCUUCAAAGAAUCUCAACCGGAUCUCUGGUGCUACAUAUUUCUCUUCCAUUCCCUCCUAAGAAUACAAGUCUGGCGUCGUCCAGUUGGGUUCAGAGUUCUCUCUCUUUUUCUGGUUAUUGUUGUGUACAUGUUGAUGCCAUAUGGCUAAUAAAAAUUUGUCCUCUAUUGCAUGGGAAGCGCUCAAAGCUGUUAUCAG